GAUGAACGCUGGCGGCGUGCCUAAUACAUGCAAGUCGAGCGAACAGACGAGGAGCUUGCUCCUCUGACGUUAGCGGCGGACGGGUGAGUAACACGUGGAUAACCUACCUAUAAGACUGGGAUAACUUCGGGAAACCGGAGCUAAUACCGGAUAAUAUAUUGAACCGCAUGGUUCAAUAGUGAAAGACGGUUUUGCUGUCACUUAUAGAUGGAUCCGCGCCGCAUUAGCUAGUUUGUAAGGUAACGGCUUACCAAGGCAACGAUGCGUAGCCGACCUGAGAGGGGGAUCGGCCACACGGGGACUGAGACAACGGCCAGGCUCCUACGGGAGGCAGCAGUAGGGAAUCUUCCGCAAAGGGCGAAAGCCUGACCGAGCAACGCCGCGUGAGUGAUGAAGGUCUUCGGAACGUAAAACUCUGUUAUUAGGGGAGAAAAAAUGUGUAAGUUACUAUGCACGUCUUGACGGUAACUAAUCAGAAAGCCACGGCUAACUACGUG
rnacentral:rRNA from 1 species